GCAAGUGUGCUGUAGUGGUUUGAGCACUGGACUAUGACUCUAGAGACCAGGGUUCAAAUCCAUGCUCAGCA
rnacentral:tRNA from 1 species